GGGGUUGUGGCUCAGUGGUAGAGUGCUUGCCUAGCAUGUGUGAGGCACUGGGUUUGAUUCUCAGCCCCA
rnacentral:tRNA from 1 species